AAGUCGUAACAAGGUUUCCGUAGGUGAACCUGCGGAAGGAUCAUUGUCGAAACCUGCCCCGCAGAACGACCCGCGAACGUGUUAUUAACACACCCGAGGGGGCCAGGAUGCCACCGUGCCCCGAACCCCCUCUCAGCCAGGGCGAGCGUGACGGUCCCUAUGCUUCGCCACUCAGGUGGACUCGGUGCCCGUUCCCUCCGCUCAUGGCAUAUCAACGAACCCCCGGCGCGAAUCGCGCCAAGGAACUAUAAAGAAAAAGAGCACGUGGACCGUCACGGCCCCGUUCGCGGUGCGUCUGUGUGCGGUCUCGUGACUCCUUUCCUUUGAAUAUCUAGAAUGACUCUCGGCAACGGAUAUCUCGGCUCUCGCAUCGAUGAAGAACGUAGCGAAAUGCGAUACUUGGUGUGAAUUGCAGAAUCCCGUGAACCAUCGAGUCUUUGAACGCAAGUUGCGCCCCAAGCCAUUAGGCCGAGGGCACGCCUGCCUGGGUGUCACGCAUCGUCGAUCCCCCCAACCACCCUUGACCCUCUUGGGCUACGGGCAAACAAAGGGGACGGAAAUUGGCCUCCCGUGUGCUCCCCGCUCGCGGUUGGCCCAAAUACGAGUCCUCGGCGACGGAAGCGCCGCGACGAUCGGUGGUAAUGCUCCUAGCUUCCCUCUAUGGUCGUGAGUGCCCGACGUCCGUACGGACCCCCUUCAAGACCCUGAAUGCAUCGCUCGAACGAUGCUCGCAUCGCGACCCCAGGUCAGGCGGGAUUACCCGCUGAGUUUAA
rnacentral:rRNA from 1 species